AAGAAAGCUGACAUACAGGAAGGUCCGAGCUUGAUAGAUUUGUGGUCAUGCAGCACCGCACUGAUGACAGCAUCAUUCCGAGUGUGUUAACCUGCAAUAGAUCAGGUGACACCAGCCUGUCUGACGGCGACCUUUUUGCUUUGUGCUCAAGCUGCUCCCGCCAGUUGCACCGUCACACGGAAUUCUCACAGGGACAAUCUGCGCUUUGUUUACUCUCCGCCAGAAACAACUCAUUGGAUGGCCCGCACUCUCCGCUCCACCUCCCUCAUCUCGGUUAAAGUGACCAUUGACAGAUCGAGGAGUGACGGGACUUUCCCCUUCUUCUGUAUUGCAGCAACGAUAAUACGGCAUUGGAAACCUCACAUUCGUUCUUUCACAUCACAUCUUUAAGCUGCGUGGACAAGUCAAAGGUCUGUGAGGGCAACAGAUGGGGGAACAUUAUACACGGAGAACCAUGGAACACGCCGAAUGAACCUUAUCGGAGAUUAGAGAGGACGCGGUGGCGUAACAAGGAGUCGAGUCGUUUGUUUAUCUCGGCACAGCGUGUGAGGAGUCCAAUGGAUGUUUGUAAUCUGCUCGACUUCUCUGCAUGAUGUGAUCUACUAGACUGUAAACAGAGACUAACGAGGUGGAGAAAAUAUUCAUCUGAAAACAGUGCUGGGCAAGUUCUACCAAAAUGUACAUUGCUCGUUAUGAUCAUUUGGAAGUUAAUUAUUACAGACGGUCAGUUGUAUGACACUAAACUUAUGUACUGCUUUGAUUCUUGUGAUCCCCAAAAGUCGUCAUAAGGUAGUGGUGGCAAAGCUAAUUGCAUAUCUCUUGUGAAUUUAACUAAAGAAUGUAAAUUAGGCAGAUAUUUUGACAAAACAGUUCACAAUUACAAUAGGGAGAAACAAUGACUAAUGAAUCAACAGAAUCAUUUCUCUCUCUGUUUUGAGCAACGAUGAGCUUUAUGAGGAAUAAUGACUAAGAAGUUGCUAACAAGCAUCACAACAAUGCGUGAAUCAUCUGCCAUUAGAUAGCGUGUUAUGAUCUGCCUUUGUUUUUUUCCCACUGCUCAUUUUUUGAAUGCUGGAAAUUAUUUCCCAAGAUGAUGUAAAACUGA